GUGCCCGGCCUAAAAGACUAGUUCGUAACAGAGAUCUAGAAGCCUUCCUCCUCCUUAUAGCAGUAACACUGUCUUCUUCUGCUGGGCCUUGUGUAUUUGUGACUAGUAGACUUUUGUUCUAAUCUUUAUUUUCUGUUCACGCUGAUGCUAUGAAAUCUGCUCUGAGGUAGGUAUUGAGUAGAAAAAUCUAAUAAAAAAACAUUUUAAAACAUGUUAAUACAAUAAAAUUAAAUAUUAAUGCAUGCUUAUAUAUAACUGAAUAGGUGUUAGUUACCAAAAACAAGGCUUAAAAUGACGAUAUACUUAGUUGAAAGAUAUAACUUUUCAAAGAAUAAAUGGGAGAAAAAAGGGUUAAUGUAAUCAUUCAAGUCAACUAAACGUCAUUUAUUUGUUUACCUGUGUCAUUCUGGGAGAAUUUUCUUCUCUCCCUGCUAGUUCAUCACUCCAACUAAAAAUUGACUAUUAUCUUUAUAUGUAUGGUAAAUAAAAUUUAGAAAGUCAUGAUUUUAACUUAUUCACAUGACACCUAAAAUCACAGUAUACACUUCCUAGUUUAUGCAUACCAUAGCUUAAGAAACUUUCUUUUAUUUAUAAUGUGGCCUACUGGCCCUCCAGGGAAAACAGGAAAUCCAGGAAAAGGGAUUUAAAAGAGGGCAUUAGUUACAAUCCUAACUGUACACACACACACACACACACACACACACACACACACACACAACACACACAAUUAUAUAUAUCAAAGGAGAAAGCUAAAGAUUAACAGUUAAAGAAUCUGUUUAUAAAUUAGAAAAAUAUUAUCAGACUAUAAAGAAAGAGCAAGAAAUCAGUACAGAGUAGCAUCACAGAGUUAAGUUACCAGAAUGUUCCAAGGUAGUUACAAUCAACAGUAACAAGAGACACUUAAAAAUGAAUGGCAUAUUUCACUUAAGACAAUGUCCUCCAGUUUCAUCCAUAUUGUUGCAAAUAACAAGAUUUCCUUCUUUUUUAAGGCUUAAUAGUAUUCCAUUGCGCAUAUAGACCCCAUUUUUUACUCCAUUCAUCUGUUGAUGGCUGCACCUUGGCUCUUGAGAAUAAUGCAGCAGUGAACAUGGGAGUGCAGGUAAAGCUACAGAUCAUCUCAAAUUCAGCUUAACUGAGAACAAAACGGGAGAACAGGAUCAUUCAAAUUAUUAUGCUGAUGGAAUGGACUGAAAAUAAAUACCAUCUCACCUAACACUGAAAUAUAACUGACCAUGCUGUGAUAGUUAUUGCAUAAUCGUUCAUUUUUAUGGGAGAAACUGCUGACCUGGACAAUAUACUUUUGCCAGAUCCCACUGCUAAGGUUUUUUUUUCUAGGUACAUAGAUUUUGAAGCUCAUGAUUGCUCAUAAUUUUCCCCUCUAUAUUUAUUUGUAAAGAUAGCAACUGGAUUUUUAAUAAAGAACAAUCAAAAUAUAUGAAUGGAUUUUUGGCCAUUUUCUGAAACUUAGAAAAAGAGUUCAUACAUAAAUGUUGUUUAU